AUAGUCUCAGUGUCCCCAUGUCUCACAGUGUCCCCUCGUGAAAUGGGGACACUGGGAGACAUGGGGACACUGGGAG